rnacentral:rRNA from 1 species
GACGAACGCUGGCGGCGUGCCUAAUACAUGCAAGUAGAACGAGUUGCGAACGGGUGAGUAACGCGUGGUAACCUGCCUCAUAGCGGGGGAUAACUAUUGGAAACGAUAGCUAAUACCGCAUACUGUGAGAUGGACCUGCUUUGUAUUAGCUAGUUGGUGGGGUAACGGAUCACCAAGGCGACGAUCCGUAGCUGGUUUGAGAGGACGACCAGCCACACUGGGACUGAGACACGGCCCAGACUCCUACGGGAGGCAGCAGUGGGGAAUUUUGGACAAUGGGCGCAAGCAUGAUGCAGCCAUGCCGCGUGUAUGAAGAAGGCCUUCGGGUUGUAAAGUACUUUCAGCGAGGAGGCGUUACUAGAAGAAGAAGCACCGGCUAACUCCGUGCCAGCCGCCGCGGUAAUAC